UUUUUCUGUUGUGGCUAAGGAUUGCUCCAGGAACCACGAGCCCUUGGAUAUUUAACUCAAUUUAAGGAUCUUUGGAUUUACUAUUUGGGCAACAGUCACUCACCUGUUCUUAAAGAACCAACUGGAGCAUGAGCUGAUGUCUGGAAGUACCGGCGUGUGGCCCAGAUUCACCUCUGCUUGGCAGAGACGAAGAAAAGAGAGCGAAGAAAGAAGGAAUGGCACGAUGGCAAAUAAGAAGACCUGUGUAGGAUUCGUGACAGAAGAACCAGAGAGACAGAGAAGAGAGAAAGCAGAAGAGGAAAGAAGAAGAAACAAAGAAGCCAAAGUGAACUUUGCAUCUGCAUAUGUCCAGAAGUGGUGGAACAAGCUGAUAAAGAAAAGUGUGGAAUGCAACUUGAAAGAAAUGGACAGAGAUCAAAGGAUGGCAGCACUAAAGAAACAAGACGAAAUAGAAUGCCGCAUACAGAUGCAGGCCGUUAGUCAUCAGAUCGCCAUGGAGCAAGAAAGCAAAAAAAGACGUGAGGAAGCACGGAAAGAGGAGAUGAAGAAAACCGUGUUUGAGAACUUUAAUGUCACCUAGUACCUGCCAGAACUGGAGGAAAUCCGACUGAAGAAGCUAGAGAAGAAGGAAAAGGAAAUACUUACCAAGCAAGAAAAGGCAAGACAGCAACGAUGGUAGAAAGAAAAGGAGCAGCGAGACAAGUAUGAGAAGAAAGACGAGAGGAAGGAAGAUAAGAGAAAAGAGAAGUGGUAGAAGAAGGAAGAGGAACUAAGGAAGAAAGAAGAGAAAGAAAGGCAGCAAAGGAUUAAAAGACAGACAAAACGACAACAGAAGACGGACGAGAAAAGAGAGAAGGCUGUUUCAAAGAUGGUCACAAAGGAGCUCAAAAAGGAGGACGAACGACUUAGGGAGGAAGAGGAGAGAAGAAGAAAACAAAAGAGAGAAGAGCAGAAAAGGGAGAGGAAGAAACAGCAGGAGCUAAAGAGAGAGAGAAGAAAAAAUGGAUGGAACAAUGUGAAAAGGAUGAGAAGGAGAAGAAAAAACAGCGGAAGAAGGAAGAAAAGGAAAGAAGACUGAACAUCAGGAAGGCAGAGAAGAAGGAAAAAUAUGAGGUCACAGCUCAGGACGUCUGGGCGGAGAGGAGGCUGAAGACGGUGGAGACCGGGGCAGCUGAUCUCAGCCCCUUCAUCUGUGAAUUUUCUGCAGAUGCCAACCUGAGUCCAGCGGAGGACACGGUGACUUGGUGGAAACCAAAGCUCUGGUUUCGCACCAACGUCAUCCGCAUCCACCCAGUUUAAAAGGUG